CUUGAGUUAUAAACAUAAGAGGUCCAGCCUGCCCAGUGAUUAAAUUUAACGGCCGCGGUAUCCUAACCGUGCGAAGGUAGCGUAAUCACUUGUUCUUUAAAUGAGGACUAGUAUGAACGGCACCACGAAGGUUUUACUGUCUCCUUUUCCUAAUCAGUGAAACUAAUCUUCCCGUGAAGAAGCGGGAAUAAACGAAUAAGACGAGAAGACCCUAUGGAGCUUUAAACACAAUAACAAAUACUACUUUAAACAAAAAUUUCUUAAUGACUUACUCCCUGGUAUUAUGAUUAUUAGUUUUAGGUUGGGGUGACCGCGGAGAAAAACACAACCUCCACAUUGAAUGAUAAAAUUCUAAGCAAAGAAUUACAUUUCCACGCAUCAAUACAUUGACAUCAAUUGACCCA
rnacentral:rRNA from 2 species